rnacentral:rRNA from 1 species
GUAGGGUGCAAGCGUUGUUCGGAAUCAUUGGGCGUAAAGCGCGUGUAGGCGGCCUGUUAAGUCUGAUGUGAAAGCCCGGGGCUCAACCCCGGAAGUGCAUUGGAUACUGGCAGGCUAGAGGGCGAGAGAGGAUGGUGGAAUUCCUGGUGUAGGGGUGAAAUCCGUAGAUAUCAGGAGGAACACCGGAGGCGAAGGCGGCCAUCUGGCUCGCAUCUGACGCUGAGACGCGAAAGCGUGGGGGGGAGCAAACAGGAUUAGAUACCCUGGUAGUCCACGCCCUAAACGAUGGAUACUAGUCGUCGGAAUACCUAAUUGUUUCGGUGACAUAGCUAACGCAGUAAGUAUCCCCGCCCUGGGAUUACGGUCGCAAGAUUA